rnacentral:lncRNA from 1 species
AAAAAUUCUUUUAAAAAAUGAAAAACCCACUCUAAUAUUUUCACUUAUAGGUACGAAGUAACUCGAAUUUUUCUGUCCUCCCGUUCUGGACACCCAGUUUUUGAGCGGGAAGUAUUCUUCCUCCCGAAUCAAAUAGGGUUGCCUGUAAACCUGCAGAUUCUUUUAUGUUCUAUAGAUCAUGCAAUCGAAUAUAUUUGAUUGACUGAACUUCAUUUCAGCUUGAUGGGUAUGAAAUUUAAUUUCUAUGCGAUGAUGUGUUUUCUGAUUAUUAUUUUCUCAUUAGGAUAACUAUAGUUUGUAGAACAUAAGGGCAUAUUGAAUUCCUUAGGUAAAAUUAUGCCAUUUAUAUAUUGGGAUCUUGAUGUUCUGUUCUAUUAAGACAUUUCCUCUGAUGUUUGGGUUAUACAUCUUCCGUUCUGUAAUUUACCCCAAUCUAUGAAUUAUUCAAAGGUUACUGUUUUAACGUUUCUGUUAUUUACUUGUAAUGUGUGGUAAAAUUUGAUGCUACAACAAAUCUUCCAUUUUCGUAAAAUUGCAUCAAUUUCUAGGACUGGACACUGAACCCGAAUUUUCGGGCAUAUAGCAAGUGGAACCUCUGGGUCCAAAUUUAAUUAUGGAAUUAUUCAGGUUCAGUUCGAUUCAAUUCAAUUUUCGGGUUUCGUACAAUAAUUAGUUUUUUUAUAUUUACAACAACACUAGAUUAAUUCAACUAUGACAUGUUUAAUCUUAGCUCUUACAAAAAUGUAAUCCAAUUUCGUGAUAUCUUUUGCUCAUAUCUUUGUUGAAUUCUUCAUAUAUUUAACUGUUAAAAUCACAAGAAUAAGAAGAUAGCGAGCCCAAAAUAUUAAAGAGAUGCGUAGCUGAGUUUCCAAUUUGAUUUAUCUCGAACUAGAAACAGUGGAAUAAGAAAUUUGGGUAAAAUUUAGGUCAAUUUAAUUAAGUUGUCUUGGUUGGAAAUUAGAAAUAAGAAAAUCGUAUUUUAGGUUUGGGCUAAUUAAUUGGAAAAUUUAUUUAAUAAGAAUAAAAUAAUUUAGCUUAUUUAAGAUUAAAAAAUUAUGAAGAGCCGGUUCUUGGUCUAGAAUCAAGAGUCAAAGAUUUUCGAUUCAAAUACUUGUUCGGAUAUUUAAUUUAAGAAGAAUCGCUCGAUUCAGUUCAAUUCGAUUUGGAAAUUUUGUCCAGCCCUAUCAAUUUCCAUAUAUUAUAUAAGUAGUCCUGAUCUUGUUGUUGAUAUACCCCUCCCCGCUUUCUUAUCUCUGGUUUUUUUAUUGCUUACUGUUCCCCUAGUUAUUACAUGUUCUUGAUUCAUCUUAUGGUGUCUUAGCAUGCAAUAUUCCUCUGGGUCGAUCUUAGACUCUGAAUAAUGAUGUCAAGAAACUCAUUUUCUUAGACUCUUUGUUUAUGAACUGUUUCGAUAAACUUAUUUUCUUCCAAGAUUCUUAUUUGGGCAUUAGUUUACAUUGACCACCGGUUUCAGGUUUGAUUAUGUGAAGCAUAUAAUGCAGCGAAGGGUAACAAAAUCUUGUGAUUUGAAGUUUCUGAGUAAAGCUUUGACUACCUGUUUCAAGGAGAUGGCGUUGAUAUGAAUUUUGAGCAACAGUUGUGGAAGAGUGAGAAUCCAGUUUUGAAUACUGUUGACCUAACAUAUUGAUGAACGUCAGUUGUGUAUGUUUGUCAAAAAUUCGAUAUAUAAUGAGAAGAGGCUUGAUAAUAUAUUUUUUGGCCUUCCAUGAAAAUAUUAAUGAACCAUGUUUUCCUUUUAUGUCUGUUGAUUGUUACCAACAUAGGACUGGGCAUUUGAUAACUAAAGCGUGUCUAGUUCUCAUUGGAAUAAAAUCCAC